CAAUAGCGUAUAUUAAAGUUGUUGCAGUUAGAACGCUCGUAGUCGGAUUUCGGGGCGGGCCGACCGGUCUGCCGAUGGGUAUGCACUGGUCGGCGCGUCCUUCCUUCCGGAGACCGUCCCUACUCUUAACUGAGCGGGGGCGGGAGACGGGACUUUUACUUUGAAAAAAUCAGAGUGUUUCAAGCAGGCAGCUCGCUCUUGCAUGGAUUAGCAUGGGAUAAUGAAAUAGGACUUUGGUGCUAUUUUGUUGGUUUCGAACACCGAAGUAGUGAUGAGAAGGGACAGUCAGGGGCACUCGUAUUCCGCCGAGAGAGGUGAAAUUCUCAGACCAGCGGAAGACGAACCACUGCGAAAGCAUUUGCCAGGGAUGUUUUCACUG
rnacentral:rRNA from 1 species